AAAAUUAAAUAUUGAAGUCCAACAUUAUAAAUCAAAUUUCAAAUUGCAAAAUUUGGAUGCACUCAAGAGUAAAGCAUUAUAAAUUUGAGGCACAGGGGCAAAAUUCAUGACUAGUACCAAAAUUUUUACCAGACAAUCUCCUUUCACUUGCUUGUCAUGCUACAACUACAAGUGUUUCAUACAACAGAUAUAUUCUUAGAGUUUUCCAAUAACACCUUCAAGUUCCAGCAAGCAAUCAAAAUUUUUGUUUCAGUUUCUUUUUGUCAAUACUUCAGUUUCACAGACCCAAAAAGAAGGUACAAGCCCUUCUCUAGAUUUUUCAGCACCCCUCUUCCUUAAAACUGAAUGAUCUUAGCUGCACUCUCUGCUUCAAAGUCUUUCUGCUCACUGUCUCCAAUCUCCCGUCUUAACCCAUCUUCUAUCUCUCUUUCUAGUGACCAAUUACACAAUUUCACCGAAAGGUCUAUCCUCUGAUUUAACACCUAGACCACAAAUUAGCAGUAAAAUUGCUUGUUGGCUAACAUUUCAGCUUUAUUGCUAACAUUUCAACUUUAUUAAUUCUUUAUUUCAAUGCUGAGGAUAUCUUGUUCUAAUGCACAUGUUAAUUUCUUCCACUAUUGUUCAAUCAUAUAUGAGAAGCAAAAAUGGCUUACUAGAUCCAAAUAUCCAGAAACCAUGGUUUAAAAAAUUGUUCUUUAACCAUAGUGCCGCCACCAAAUAAAAUAUGGCACUAACUCCACAAUUGGCCAUCAUGUAGGAUGUAAAUUAUUACAUCUAGCUGAUGCGACAAACCAGAUUGAACUUGAACAAAAGACUCAACUCUAAUACUCGAAAGAAAAGCACAUACAACCCUAGGCAAAAUCCAAAUUAUUACAGAUACCUUAAUGCACCACUCUGUAAGCCCUCUACAAAAAGAAGCCAACCAACGGUCCCACUAGGAAUUUCAUCAAAAAUUCCAGCAUUAUACAUCAAAAGAAUUUUACGCUUCAACUCUAUCCAAUCAAUAUGUUUUCUUUCAACAUAUGUUUCUUGUAAGGACAUUAAGCUACCUUUACACAACAGCCCAUGCUGGAAUGGAUAAGCACAAACCAAUUGACACGGUACAAGUUAAUCAGAUAAAAUUUUACAAUUUUUUGGUUAAUAAAGGUGGCUAUUACAUUAUAAUUCACAAUACAAACUGCAAAUGAAAGCUUCCUGGUCGCUUGUCUAACGGUACUGGAAAUUGAGUUUAAAUGACACUACAUUGAAAAAGAUAAUUUCAUAAAAUAUCAAUUAAAGCACAAAUGCAACAAACAAAAUAUUCAGAGUGCAAUUCAGAAUUCAAAUGAUCAGGCAUACAGAUUAAGGGGAAAAAUUCAAAAUUUAAAUACAUUUUGCAAGGAAGAAUGUCUUAGUGAAGUUUUCCACACUUUAAAAGAUCAUAUAAUCUCUAAAUUUAUAUCUUCCCAGAAAAUCCUAAGAUAACAAUUACACCUAAACAGUAAUGUUAUUUUCACAUGCUCCAAAACUUGAUAAACAAAUUCUCAAGCAAAUAGAAAAAAUCAAAGAAAG
rnacentral:misc_RNA from 1 species